GGUGUGAAGGCAGUGCUGACCAAAGAAUUGAUGGGAACUGCACACCGCGGAGCCAGUUUUGGAAUGGCUGAGCUGAAAGUCAAGACAGAAGAAAAGAUAUGAGCCUUCUGAACUUGGGGGAGGCAACACUGAUAUUUAGACCAAUGGUUUGGUGGGACCCCUGGAGACAGGAAAUAAAAGGAGGCUGUCAACAUGUGAACGUCCCUUCUUUACUGGCUCUUUAAAUCACAGAAUUUGUGGCUAUUUGAGGGAUACUGUUUUGGACACCACUGAACACCUGCUGCCUGGAUGUACGUAAAUCCAGAAGGCUCCAUCUCUAGGCCUUUGAUGAAGGGAAAUGGGAAGACUGGGAGACGUGCAUCACUUUUGCUCUCUGGCAAAGAGAAAGACAACUUUUUUGUUUUGUUUGUUUUGCUUUUUUGUUUUCUUUUGUUUUGAGAGAAAGCCAACUCUUCUAUGAGAGCCACAGAAUUGGGUUUCUACUCAGGAACUGUUGGGGAAAAAAAAAAAAAGAAAUCUCUUUAAAGAUGAAUAUACCUGAAAUUCCAAUAUGAACUUAUUUGUGUGAGACAGUAAUCUUCUCUUGUAUAUUAUAAGAAAGCAACAGAUGAGGGGGGGAAU
rnacentral:lncRNA from 1 species